AGUGAACGCUGGCGGUAGGCCUAACACAUGCAAGUCGAACGGCAGCACAGGAGAGCUUGCUCUCUGGGUGGCGAGUGGCGGACGGGUGAGGAAUACAUCGGAAUCUACUCUGUCGUGGGGGAUAACGUAGGGAAACUUACGCUAAUACCGCAUACGACCUACGGGUGAAAGCAGGGGAUCUUCGGACCUUGCGCGAUUGAAUGAGCCGAUGUCGGAUUAGCUAGUUGGCGGGGUAAAGGCCCACCAAGGCGACGAUCCGUAGCUGGUCUGAGAGGAUGAUCAGCCACACUGGAACUGAGACACGGUCCAGAAUCCUACGGGAGGCAGCAGUGGGGAAUAUUGGACAAUGGGCGCAAGCCUGGUCCAGCCAUACCGCGUGGGUGAAGAAGGCCUUCGGGUUGUAAAGCCCUUUUGUUGGGAAAGAAAUCCAGCUGGCUAAUACCCGGUUGGGAUGACGGUACCCAAAGAAUAAGCACCGGCUAACUUCGUGCCAGCAGCCGCCGUAA
rnacentral:rRNA from 1 species